rnacentral:rRNA from 1 species
UACGGGGGGGGCAAGCGUUGUUCGGAAUUACUGGGCGUAAAGCGCACGUAGGCGGAUUUGUAAGUCAGGGGUGAAAUCCCGGGGCUCAACCUCGGAACUGCCUUUGAUACUGCAAGUCUUGAGUCCGAUAGAGGUGAGUGGAAUUCCUAGUGUAGAGGUGAAAUUCGUAGAUAUUAGGAAGAACACCAGUGGCGAAGGCGGCUCACUGGAUCGGUACUGACGCUGAGGUGCGAAAGCGUGGGGAGCAAACAGG